UCUGUUGAACCAGUAAGACUCCAAGCUGUUGCUUUCUGAACCAGUCGUGAUGUCCAGCAUCACUGAGACUCUACCAGACCUCACGGGAAGGUUUGUUUAUCGUCUGCGUUGUGAAAGGACACAAACAAACAAAAAAUAAAAAGGGAUCAGAAAUCGAACCUUGCGCGGUUUCAUCAGCACCACGUGAUUUUAGGCUCCAAUUUAAUGACGUUUACGUUCAAAAAUAUUGAAUGUUUUUUUUCACCUCAGGCAACGUUUGGAAAGUAUGAGCGAUAUAACGAUGGAUGCAGCGCGUGGGAGGAAGAGGAGGAGGAGGAGCGGUGAGACAGGGGGCGUGUCCUCACCGCGGGGAGGCUUUUACAGCCCAAUCAGCGUGCAUCGCCAGCCAUAUUGUAACUUUUACUGAAGUCGGUUCAAGUUUUGUGCACCAGCUGUGCGUGGAUUUCCUCUAAAGGAGCAUCAGGAGCAUCAGGAGCUGGAGUACAAGCGGCCCGCAGCAGCAUGAACACAGCCCGGUUUGUAGUCACCAUGCGCAGAGGAGGUGCGCAGACCUUCCGACGACCUCAGCUCCUCCUGGCUGCUUAUUCUCCCACAGUUCAGUGCUGUCUGGAGUCGACCCAGGCAGUUCCUGCCGCCCGGCUUCCCUACAGGGUGAAGCUGUCUGCUGGAAAACGCUACGCCUGGUGCGCUUGUGGCCACAGCAAGAAGCAGG